UACAGAGGGGGCAAGCGUUAUUCGGAAUUAUUGGGCGUAAAGGGCGCGUAGGCGGCUUUGCAAGUGACGGGUGAAAUCCCUCGGCUUAACCGAGGAACUGCCUGUCAGACUGCAUGGCUUGAGACCGGGAGAGGUGAGUGGAAUUCCCAGUGUAGCGGUGAAAUGCGUAGAUAUUGGGAGGAACACCAGUGGCGAAGGCGGCCUUCUGGACAGUGACUGACGCUGAGACGGCGAAAGCGUGGGGAGCAAACAGG
rnacentral:rRNA from 1 species